rnacentral:rRNA from 1 species
CCUACUGGUGGCAGCAGUGGGGAAUAUUGGACAAUGGGGGGAACCCUGAUCCAGCCAUGCCGCGUGUGUGAAGAAGGCCCUCGGGUUGUAAAGCACUUUCAGUGAGGAAGAACGCCUGGUGGUUAAUACCCAUCAGGAAAGACAUCACUCACAGAAGAAGCACCGGCUAACUCCGUGCCAGCAGCCGCGGUAAUACGGAGGGUGCGAGCGUUAAUCGGAAUUACUGGGCGUAAAGCGCGCGUAGGUGGCUUGAUAAGCCGGUUGUGAAAGCCCCGGGCUCAACCUGGGAACGGCAUCCGGAACUGUCAAGCUAGAGUGCAGGAGAGGAAGGUAGAAUUCCCGGUGUAGCGGUGAAAUGCGUAGAGAUCGGGAGGAAUACCAGUGGCGAAGGCGGCCUUCUGGACUGACACUGACACUGAGGUGCGAAAGCGUGGGUAGCAAACAGGAUUAGAUACCCCAGUAGUC